GACGAACGCUGGCGGCGUGCUUAACACAUGCAAGUCGAACGGAAAGGCCCUGCUUGUGGGGUACUCGCGUGGCGAACGGGUGAGUAACACGCGGGUGAUCUGCCCUGCACUUCGGGAUAAACCUGGGCAACUGGGUGGAAUAAAGAAUAGAAGCCAUUUUUAGUGUGAUGGUUGGAUAGUUAUUUCGGUGUAGGAUGAGCUCGCUGGCUAUCAGCUUGUUGGUGGGGUAAUGGCCUACCAAGGCGGCGUCGGGUAGCCGGCCUGAGUGGGUGGACGGCCACCCUGGGACUGAGGUGCGGCCCAGGCUCCUACGGGGGGGAACAGGGGGGAAUAUUGCACAAUGGGCGCAAGCCUGGUGCAGCGAGGCCGCGUGGGGGAUGACGGCCUUCGGGUUGUAAACCCCUUUCGCUAGGGACGAAGCUUUUUGUGACGGUACCUAGAUAAGAAGCACCGGCUAACUACGUG
rnacentral:rRNA from 1 species